rnacentral:rRNA from 1 species
ACUCCUGCGGGAGGCAGCAGUGGGGAAUUUUGGACAAUGGGCGAAAGCCUGAUCCAGCAAUGCCGCGUGAGUGAAGAAGGCCUUCGGGUUGUAAAGCUCUUUUGUCAGGGAAGAAACGGUGAAAGCUAAUAUCUUUUGCUAAUGACGGUACCUGAAGAAUAAGCACCGGCUAACUACGUGCCAGCAGCCGCGGUAAUACGUAGGGUGCAAGCGUUAAUCGGAAUUACUGGGCGUAAAGCGUGCGCAGGCGGUUUUGUAAGUCUGAUGUGAAAUCCCCGGGCUCAACCUGGGAAUUGCAUUGGAGACUGCAAGGCUAGAAUCUGGCAGAGGGGGGUAGAAUUCCACGUGUAGCAGUGAAAUGCGUAGAUAUGUGGAGGAACACCGAUGGCGAAGGCAGCCCCCUGGGUCAAGAUUGACGCUCAUGCACGAAAGCGUGGGGAGCAAACAGGAUUAGAAACCCGGGUAGUCCC